GACAGAGGGGGCAAGCGUUGCUCGGAAUCACUGGGCGUAAAGGGCGCGUAGGCGGGAUGGCAAGUCGGUCGUGAAAUCCUUCGGCUCAACCGAAGAACGUCGGCCGAUACUGCUGUUCUUGAGGGAUGCAGAGGAGAUUGGAAUUCCCGGUGUAGCGGUGAAAUGUGUAGAGAUCGGGAGGAACACCGGUGGCGAAGGCGGGUCUCUGGGCCAUUACUGACGCUGAGGAGCGAAAGCGUGGGGAGCGAACAGG
rnacentral:rRNA from 1 species